AUUGAACGCUGGCGGCAGGCCUAACACAUGCAAGUCGAACGAGUGGCGGACGGGUGAGUAAUGUCUGGGAAACUGCCUGAUGGAGGGGGAUAACUACUGGAAACGGUAGCUAAUACCGCAUACCAUCGGAUGUGCCCAUAUGGGAUUAGCUAUGAGGUGGGGUAAAGUCUCACCUAGGGGACGAUCCCUAGCUGGUCUGUGAGGAUGACCAGCACCACUGGAACUGAGACACGGCCCAGACUCCUACGGGAGGCAGCAGUGGGGAAUAUUGCACAAUGGGCGCAAGCCUGAUGCAGCCAUGCCGCGUGUAUGAAGAAGGCCUUAGGGUUGUAAAGUACUUUCAGCGGGGAGGCGUUACCCGCAGAAGAAGCACCGGCUAACUCCGUGCCAGCAGCCGCGGUAAUUC
rnacentral:rRNA from 1 species